rnacentral:rRNA from 1 species
UACGGAAGGUGCAAGCGUUGUUCGGAAUUACUGGGCGUAAAGAGCACGUAGGCGGGUCUGUAUGUCGAUUGUGAAAGCCCUAGGCUUAACCUAGGAAUUGCAGUCGAAACUGCAGAUCUUGAAUAUCUGAGAGGGCGGGGGAAUUCCUGGUGGAGAAGUGAAAUUCGUAGAUAUCAGGAGGAACACCAGAGGUGAAGACGCCUACCUGGCAGAAUAUUGACGCUGAGGUGCGAAAGCGUGGGGAGCAAAC